rnacentral:tRNA from 1 species
GUAGGUAUAGCUCAGUCGGUUAGAGCGCCUGGUUGUGGUUCAGGAGGUCGCCGGUUCGAUUCCGGUUACUUACCCCA